rnacentral:rRNA from 1 species
ACUCUGAUGCAGCGAUGCCGCGUGAGUGAAGAAGGUCUUUGGGUUGUAAAGCUCUUUCGUCGGGGAAGAAAAUGACUGUACCCGAAUAAGAAGGUCCGGCUAACUUCGUGCCAGCAGCCGCGGUAAUACGAAGGGACCUAGCGUAGUUCGGAAUUACUGGGCUUAAAGAGUUCGUAGGUGGUUGAAAAAGUUGGUGGUGAAAUCCCAGAGCUUAACUCUGGAACUGCCAUCAAAACUUUUCAGCUAGAGUUUGAUAGAGGAAAGCAGAAUUUCUAGUGUAGAGGUGAAAUUCGUAGAUAUUAGAAAGAAUACCAAUUGCGAAGGCAGCUUUCUGGAUCAUUACUGACACUGAGGAACGAAAGCAUGGGUAGCGAAGAGGAUUAGAUACCCUCGUAGUCCAUGCCGUAAACGAUGUGUGUUAGACGUUGGAAAUUUAUUUUCAGUGUCGCAGCGAAAGCGAUAAACACACCGCCUGGGGAGUACGACCGCAAGGUUAAAACUCAAAUGAAUUGACGGGGACCCGCACAAGUAGUGGAGCAUGUGGUUUAAUUCGAAGAUACGCGCAGAACCUUACCAACACUUGACAUGUUCGUCGCGACUCUGAGAGAUUAGAGUUUUCGGUUCGGCCGGACGAAACACAGGUGCUGCAUGGCUGUCGUCAGCUCGUGUCGUGAGAUGUUGGGUUAAGUCCCGCAACGAGCGCAACCCUCACUUUUAGUUGCCAUCAUUAAGUUGGGCACUCUGAAAGAACUGCCAGUGAUAAGCUGGAGGAAGGUGGGGAUGACGUCAAGUCCUCAUGGCCCUUACGUGUUGGGCUACACACGUGCUACAAUGGUAUCUACAACAGGAAGCAAAACAGCGAUGUUAAGCA